AUUGAACGCUGCGGCAGGCCUAACGCCUGCAAGUCGAGCGGAUGAAGGGAGCUUGCUCCUGGAUUCAGCGGCGGACGGGUGAGUAAUGCCUAGGAAUCUGCCUGGUAGUGGGGGAUAACGUCCGGAAACGGGCGCUAAUACCGCAUACGUCCUGAGGGAGAAAGUGGGGGAUCUUCGGACCUCACGCUAUCAGAUGAGCCUAGGUCGGAUUAGCUAGUUGGUGGGGUAAAGGCCUACCAAGGCGACGAUCCGUAACUGGUCUGAGAGGAUGAUCAGUCACACUGGAACUGAGACACGGUCCAGACUCCCACGGGAGGCAGCAGUGGGGAAUAUUGGACAAUGGGCGAAAGCCUGAUCCAGCCAUGCCGCGUGUGUGAAGAAGGUCUUCGGAUUGUAAAGCACUUUAAGUUGGGAGGAAGGGCAGUAAGUUAAUACCUUGCUGUUUUGACGUUACCAACAGAAUAAGCACCGGCUAACUUCGUG
rnacentral:rRNA from 1 species